rnacentral:misc_RNA from 1 species
CAUCUAGCGAUUUUUAAAUGUAAAAUUGGGUAGGAAGUUUCAGCCUUUCAGGUUUAACAUUUACCUUGGAGCGAGUAGAGAGAGGAGAGAAUCGAAGAUGGAGUCGCAGAUUACGGUUGAUUGAAGAGAAGCACGAUAGCUGAGAAACUGUUGGUGCUACUGCUGCCAUGAUUGAGAUCAGGAACACAGGAAUUAGGCCACGGGCCACUAGGCAACUGGUUUGGUCCCUUCUUUUAGUGUAGCGUCUUGACCU